UUUCCGUAGGUGAACCUGCGGAAGGAUCAUUAUUGAGUAAACCUGAUGUGGUUGUAGCUGGCCCUUUCGGGGGCAUGUGCACACCCGUCGUCUUUAUCUUUCCACCUGUGCACCUUUUGUAGACCUGGAUGUAACACUUUCCGAGGCAACUCGGUCGGGAGGAAUGCUGUCAGCUUUCCUUGAAUGUCCAGGCCUAUGUUUUCGUAUACCCCAAAGAAUGUAACAGAAUGUAUUAUUGGGCCCUGUGCCUAUAAACUAUAUACAACUUUCAGCAACGGAUCUCUUGGCUCUC
rnacentral:misc_RNA from 1 species